rnacentral:rRNA from 1 species
GUCCACGCCCUAAACGAUGUCAACUAGUUGUUGGGGAAGGAGACUUCUUUAGUAACGUAGCUAACGCGUGAAGUUGACCGCCUGGGGAGUACGGCCGCAAGGUUAAAACUCAAAGGAAUUGACGGGGACCCGCACAAGCGGUGGAUGAUGUGGAUUAAUUCGAUGCAACGCGAAAAACCUUACCUACCCUUGACAUGUGCGGAACUUCUGAGAGAUCAGUAGGUGCCCGAAAGGGAGCCGCAA